rnacentral:rRNA from 1 species
UACGUAGGGGGCGAGCGUUGUCCGGAUUCAUUGGGCGUAAAGCGUCCGCAGGUGGCACCUCAAGUCUGCUGUCAAAGACCGGGGCUUAACCCCAGAAAGGCAGUGGAAACUGAAGUGCUAGAGUGCAGUAGGGGUAGAGGGAAUUCCCGGUGUAGCGGUGAAAUGCGUAGAGAUCGGGAAGAACAUCGGUGGCGAAAGCGCUCUGCUGGACUGCAACUGACACUCAGGGACGAAAGCUAGGGGAGCGAAUGGG